rnacentral:rRNA from 1 species
CGGGAAUUUUGGGCAAUGGGCGAAAGCCUGACCCAGCAACGCCGCGUGAGGGAUGAAGUAUUUCGGUAUGUAAACCUCGAAAGAAUGGGAAGAAUAAAUGACGGUACCAUUUAUAAGCUCCAGCUAACUACGUGCCGGCAGCCGCGGUAAUACGUAGGGAGCAAGCGUUGUUCGGAUUUACUGGGCGUAAAGGGCGCGUAGGCGGCGCGGUAAGUCACUUGUGAAAUCUCUGAGCUUAACUCAGAACGGCCAAGUGAUACUGCUGUGCUAGAGUGCGGAAGAGGCAACCGGAAUUCUUGGUGUAGCGGUGAAAUGCGUAGAUAUCAAGAGGAACACCUGAGGCGAAGGCGGGUUGCUGGGCCGACACUGACGCUGAUGCGCGAAAGCCAGGGGAGCAAACG